UACGUAGGGGGCAAGCGUUGUCCGGAUUUAUUGGGCGUAAAGAGCGUGUAGGCGGCCAAGCAGGUCCGCUGUGAAAACUCGAGGCUCAACCUCGAGACGUCGGUGGAAACCGUUUGGCUAGAGUCCGGAAGAGGAGAGUGGAAUUCCCGGUGUAGCGGUGAAAUACGCAGAUAUCGGGAAGAACACCCGUGGCGAAGGCAGCUCUCUGGGACGGUACUGACACUGAGACGCGAAAGCGUGGGGAGCGAACAGG
rnacentral:rRNA from 1 species